UCCAGGAGCAAGGCAAGCCAAGAAACCUUUGCUUUUGAAGGAGAAGAUGCAGAAAUGGGGAAGGAAGAAAAGAAGCCCCCUGAGUCCUCCCUGAGCCACAGGCAGUCCCUGAAGUGCCUUCCUGGGAAUGGUAGGAUGGUGAGGACUCUGCAUUGCUCCCUAGGGAUGUGUGGAACUCCAGGAAUUGACGGUGACGCCUCGGCCGAUGGAUUGGACGCCCCAGCCCGUCCGUUCCUGCCCAGCCCUUGGGUCCCUGUCAAGGGGUGGGACUCCCAGCCCCUCCAGGGGGCUGUGGCGUGGAAACUGCAGAGAGCUGAGCCAGGGGA